rnacentral:rRNA from 1 species
GAUCAUGGCUCAGGAUGAACGCUGGCGGCGUGCUUAACACAUGCAAGUCGAACGAGAGAUGGAGACGGAAACCUUCGGGCGGAAGGCUUCAUUUCGAGUGGCGGACGGGUGAGUAACGCGUGGGUAACCUGCCUCAUACAGGGGGAUAACAGUUGGAAACGAUUGUUAAUACCGCAUAAGACCACAGCACCGCAUGGUGCGGGGGUAAAAACUCCGGUGGUAUGAGAUGGACCCGCGUUCGAUUAGCCAG